GAUGAAGAACGUAGCGAAAUGCGAUAAGUAAUGUGAAUUGCAGAAUUCAGUGAAUCAUCGAAUCUUUGAACGCACAUUGCGCCCAUUAGUAUUCUAGUGGGCAUGCCUGUUCGAGCGUCAUUAAUUCCACUUAAGCCCUGCUUAGUGUUGGGAAUCUACUCUAGUGGUGCUACCCUGGAGCUACCCCUGAAAGGGGGCUGGCCCGGUAGCUACCCUGUAGUUCCUCAAAGAUAGUGCGCGGAGUUGCGUGGUCCUCUGAGCUUAGUAACUAUACACCUAGCUUUUGAGUGUCCCGUGGCGCCUGCCGUUUAAACCCCAUCUUUUAAUGGUUGACCUCGGAUCAGGUAGGAAUACCCGCUGAACUUAAGCAUAUCAAUAAGCGGAGGA
rnacentral:misc_RNA from 1 species